rnacentral:piRNA from 1 species
UGAUAUGCAAAUACGAGUCCC